rnacentral:rRNA from 1 species
UACGGGGGGGGCAAGCGUUGUUCGGAAUUACUGGGCGUAAAGGGCGCGUAGGCGGCCUGCUAAGUCGGACGUGAAAUCCCCCGGCUCAACCGGGGAACUGCGUCCGAUACUGGUGGGCUCGAAUUCGGGAGAGGGAUGUGGAAUUCCAGGUGUAGCGGUGAAAUGCGUAGAUAUCUGGAGGAACACCGGUGGCGAAGGCGGCAUCCUGGACCGGUAUUGACGCUGAGGCGCGAAAGCCAGGGGAGCAAAGC